ACAAGCCGUGAAGGUUGCCCUGCGAAGGGGCGGCCUUUCACCUGGCCACCCUUGUUUACUCUUAACCUGUUGCUUUGGUGGGCCCGCCGCCAAGGCCGCCGGGGGACUUUUUGUUCCCGGGUCAGUGCCCACCAAAGACAUAUGAACUCUCAAGGGUUUUUUUGGCUGUCUGAGCUAUGCAAAAUCUUUUA
rnacentral:misc_RNA from 1 species